AAAUGCAAUGUGAUGAGAAGGACUAAUACAUUAGCUCCUACCUGAGCUUUAUGGGUCUCAAGAUCCAUUACCUAGAAAAGCUAUAAGUCAUCCUGGGUCCUGGCAGAUUGGCUUGAUGAAGUAUGAAUUUGACAGCUUGUCUGAGAAGAUGGAUCAGAGCUAUCAUCUGGAAAUCAUGCCCUGGGCAGACCUGAGAAAAUGUUUUACUACUUAAAUUGACAAAAAAUGCCAAGUCACGAGCUGCAAGGAAGCUGUCUGGUUCAAAAGGAUGAGUCUCCAGGAGGACAGAAGUCUGCUGGAGAAGAGGCUGAAGGCAUUAUAUCAGGACCCACCAGAUUUGAAAACCUUAAAAACUUUGGGGAAAUGGGGUAGUGUUUUCAUUGUUAGUUUUUGCCAAAGGCAGACUGCCUGCCUUUCUGGCUCAAAUGUCAAUGUAUCAAGGGCAUUGGGCAAUGCCCCCAAAUGCCAAUUGCCUGUACCUGUACCCCAAAGCUUUCCCGCCAUUAGUGAUGAGAGUCUAACCCCAUGUUGCAUUUCCCAUUUGUCUGUUUGGUCAGCAAUGUCCAGUCUUGACCAAAAGGGGGGUGUUGCCAACAUGGAAUCUAGGACCCCCAAACUUGUGUCAUGGUGGAAUAUGAUGAACCCCAAGUUUCAGGACUAACUUAUAGGUUGGAGACCCCAAAGCUUGGCCUUGUUCCCUUUUCCCAUGGGAAUCUACACUGAAGGGAAUCCCAGGCUAGCAGUUUUAGACUGAGUGGGGGGACCCUUAGGGGAAUGACAAUCCUAGUUAGUGGGACUAGGCCUAUGCUAAGGACCCUCCUUGUUUUAGGUUGUCUCCCCUAUGGUAUCAGACCCUUUCCCAAGAAGACCCACACGUGGGCAGGAACCAUCCUUUAGUAUCAUCCAUUAUGAUUUUGAUUCUUGCCAGGAGGGGAAGCAGCAAGUUGGGGUCAGUGGCUGCCACUCUGCUCUCCUCAAAAAGAAGGCACACUGAACUUGAAUCAUCAGUCUAAGAGAUGUCAUUUCAAGGUGCAAGAACGCCUGCUUGUUCUUACCAAGUGGGGAAAGAAGGGCUCCAAACUUAAAAACCAAGGCUUGAACCCUUUCACACUAAAUACAAGUCCCGCAAUGUAUAUACUAUAAUGAGCAGAGGAAUGAAGUGGUUUGCAAACAGAUAGCAGAGAGUAAAGUUUUCCAAGAGGGACCUUGCUGCAUGCCAUGGAACGAUAUAGGCUCAAAUCUGGAAUCUGGGAACUUUAUAAAAAGUGGGCACAGAGAGAACUCUGGGCUUUGAUUUCCUGUUUCUGGGAGAGCUUGAAAGCUACAACUUCCUGCUGCUUGCUUCUGUGUGAGCCUAGUGGGGGUUUUAGAUUCCUUUUUUUCCCUUGUGGAGCUAAAGCUACCUGUCCUGGUGUCCUGGUGUCCUGGUGUCCUGGUGGAGAAAUCCUAUCUACGUUGUCAUCUACUUUAUCAUCUACUCGUGUUCCGGUGUCCUGAGAGAGAGUUCCCAAGUGCUGUAAAGAUUUCUGCUGGCAAGCUUGUAAACUGACUGGGAAAAGGCCUGAAGCCAUCUUGGGCCCAACCCAAUAAGGAUUUGAACUCUCUCAUAAAGGGUUCAACUUAACUACCCUGAUAAACUAUAAAUAUCUAACCAAAUGUCAUCUGGGACGAUUAUUAGGUCAGGUAGUUAGAUAGUCAGGAAUUUCUAGUUAGCAAGGAUAGUAAACUAGGCAGCUGGAAGAAAUGAAGGCACCCCUUUCCAAGGGUCUUAUAAAGGGGGGAGGUUUAGUUAGAAUUUCUUAUAUGAGGGAUUCUGAAUUCCUAAUCCUCCUGUCCUGCUACAGUGAAUCACAAAUAAACAUUGUCU